rnacentral:rRNA from 1 species
AACGAACGCUGGCGGCAUGCCUAACACAUGCAAGUCGAACGAGACCUUCGGGUCUAGUGGCGCACGGGUGCGUAACGCGUGGGAACCUGCCUUUAGGUUCGGAAUAACUCAGAGAAAUUUGAGCUAAUACCGGAUAAUGUCUUCGGACCAAAGAUUUAUCGCCUUUAGAUGGGCCCGCGUAAGAUUAGCUAGUUGGUGGGGUAAAGGCCUACCAAGGCGACGAUCUUUAGCUGGUCUGAGAGGAUGAUCAGCCACACUGGGACUGAGACACGGCCCAGACUCCUACGGGAGGCAGCAGUGGGGAAUAUUGGACAAUGGCGGAAAGGACCUGAUCCAGCAAUGCGCGUGAGUGAUGAAGGCCUA